AGCGAACGUUUGCGGCGGGCCUAACACAUGCAAGUCGAACGCACUAGCAAUAGUGAGUGGCGCACGGGUGCGUAACACGUGGGUAAUCAACCCUUCAGCCUGGGAUAACGACUCGAAAGGGUCGCUAAUACCGGAUACGGCGCGAGAGGCUUCGGCUUCUCACGAGAAAGCCACGCAAGGGGCACUGAAGGACGAGCCUGCGGCCCAUCAGCUAGUUGGUGAGGUAAGAGCUCACCAAGGCUAAGACGGGUAGCUGGUCUGAGAGGAUGAUCAGCCGCACUGGAACUGAGACACGGUCCAGACUCCUACGGGAGGCAGCAGUGGGGAAUAUUGCGCAAUGGGCGAAAGCCUGACGCAGCCACGCCGCGUGAGCGAUGAAGGCCUCGGUCGUAAAGACGUCUGUGGGGAGGAGGACGAAGAAAGACCUGUGAAGAGCAGGCCUUGACGGUAGUCUCCUUAG
rnacentral:rRNA from 1 species